UGCGGGAUGGAGCAGUCUGGUAGCUCGUCGGGCUCAUAACCCGAAGGUCAUCGGUUCAAAUCCGGUUCCCGCUACCA
rnacentral:tRNA from 16 species